AGAGGAUGGAACCUGUAUUUAUGUGGAAAGAAGCAAAGACUAAGAAAUCGCAUAACCCUUUCUCUCUUUGAAGUUAAAAUAAUGCAUUCGGGGCUAUGAAUAUGAAGAUUCAAAGCCGGGAUCUGCAAGUCAACAAGGACAGUUAACACUACAGUAUUUGUCUCAACUGUUCUGAGUUCUUUUUAUCCAGACUUUCAGGAGAUAGAAUCUAGAUACUCUUCAUUAACUUUAAGAUAUUAACCACAGAUAUCAUCUAUACAAGUUCAAACCAUGCUGUUGUGGAGCCUUGUUCCAGUGGAUCCGUCUGCAAUCACUCCUCCACCUCAGUCUCAAGGGCUGGAAAGACAGCAAGAGCCAGAGGUCAGGCUGUGGAAUGAUGUCUUCUAGCAGUGUCAGAGUCUACAUCCACAAAAAUCUCACAGACGUGACUGUUUAAACAUGAGGUGAUCGAGGAGGACAGCCAUAGGAUUCUUAAUAUGGGAAAGCCCAAGACACUUCAGCACUACAAUAGAAACCUACUGCAUUGGAGACAGCAGAUAAGAUAAUCUUCCCAAGGAAAAAGGCCUCUCCAUAACUGGUUAUACAACACCAAUGGUCAGUCCUGCAAAUAUGUAAUUUGAGUAUCAUUAUACAAAUGGAGCAUAGUUGUGUGCAUGACAAUAAUAUGUAUGAAAUACAAUGUUUUUUUUUUUAAAGGCCAUGAAUUUUAAAGAGAACAAGGAGCAGAGGAUGCAUGGGAUGGUUUGUUGGGAGGAAAGAAAAGUGUAAAAUGAUGUAAUUAUAUUGUAAUCUCAAAACAAUGAAAAAUAUCUUACAAUAAAUUAAUGUGAGUUACAAAACAAAAAAGAAGUAGCAUUGGUGUAGAUGUGGUAGUCAUGCAUGCAGUAGUUAACUAGUUAACGAUGAAACUGCAUUUUGAUUUACGACUAUUUCACUUCCGUCAGCUUGUUUGCUUGAAAAAAGUUCUUAUCAGUUUACAUGGUUUAUUUCUUAUGUAUUUUAAAAAGAACUACUGUUAUUAAAAAUAUAUG